rnacentral:rRNA from 1 species
UACGAAGGGGGCGAGCGUUGUUCGGAGUUACUGGGCGUAAAGGGCGCGUAGGCGGCGAUCCAAGUUAGGCGUGAAAGCCCCGGGCUUAACCUGGGAAUUGCGCUUAAGACUGGACUGCUUGAGUGCGGGAGAGGUGAGUGGAAUUCCCAGUGUAGAGGUGAAAUUCGUAGAUAUUGGGAAGAACACCAGUGGCGAAGGCGGCUCACUGGCCCGCAACUGACGCUGAGGCGCGAAAGCGUGGGGAGCAAACGGG